rnacentral:lncRNA from 1 species
CCCGAGCAUCCCCCGGGAGAUGGCCCCUCCCAAGUGACAGCUUGCUCACAUCCCCUUGGUAUCCAAAUCCUGAACACCCACUUUCCUGUAGCACCGCAAGGGAAUUUUAAGGUUAAAAGCUUUAAAUACGCCAGCAAAGAAUAAGUGAAUUAUUUCCAUCCUUCAUUGUGCCAGACCCUUGUGAUAUUUGGGUAGGUGGGACUGUUACUUACAAACUUCUGUUUACCUGAUCUUUGCAUGUUGUCUUUAGUUCAUUCAGAGAUCUUUAAUGCUGUAAUCAUCAAUUAGCUAACUUAUUAUGCUUUGUUAGGACAAAAAAUUUGGUUAAGCCAUUAAGUAAGGUUAGAAUCCACGGACAGGUAAAAAUGUAAGGUGAAACCCGCCUGCAUCAUCUCCUGAACACCUUCAUCCCUGCAAGACCCUCAGAUUUCUCAUGUACUACAACUGAAUAGGAGGAAGCAAGGUUUUGGUCCAGGCCAAACCCUGUGAAAAUUUUACCCUUGUGUCCUUUGUGUCAUCAGGCUACUGGGACUGUGCAGUUUGAACCAGUAAUUUCUAAUCUUUGGGACUGCUGAUAAAGCCAAUAUUUACAUGAGGAAACAAAUGAAUGUGUUCCACACUGAGGCCUCCACUCUGCCACAGUGGUGACUGGAAUUUGGAAUUUUGUUUACAAAGUACAAUUUAAGUUGCAGUAUGUAGAGGGUUUCUGUUGAUUGCUCUUCAGUGAGAUGUUACUCUAUGCCUGUGAGAAUAGCAGGAGGAGGCCUGAGCCCCAGGAUAGCUUUUGGUGCUUUG